CCUACGGGCGGCAGCAGUCGAGAAUCAUUCACAAUGGGGGAAACCCUGAUGGUGCGACGCCGCGUGGAGGAAUGAAGGUCUUCGGAUUGUAAACCCCUGUCAUAUGGGCGCAAAUUAAAAAGAUAGUACCACAAGAAGAAGAGACGGCUAACUCUGUGCCAGCAGCCGCGGUACUACAGAGGUCUCAAGCGUUGUUCGGAAUCACUGGGCGUAAAGCGUGCGUAGGCUGUUUCGUAAGUCGUGUGUGAAAGGCGCGGGCUCAACCCGCGGACGGCACAUGAUACUGCGAGACUAGAGUAAUGGAGGGGGAACCGGAAUUCUCGGUGUAGCAGUGAAAUGCGUAGAUAUCGAGAGGAACACUCGUGGCGAAGGCGGGUUUCUGGACAUUAACUGACGCUGAGGCACGAAGGCGAGGGGAGCGAAAGGGAUUAGAUACCCGGGUAGUC
rnacentral:rRNA from 1 species